GACGAACGCUGGCGGCGUGCCUAAUACAUGCAAGUCGAGCGAGCGGAACUAACAGAUUUACUUCGGUAAUGACGUUAGGACAGCGAGCGGCGGAUGGGUGAGUAACACGUGGGGAACCUGCCCCAUAGUCUGGGAUACCACUUGGAAACAGGUGCUAAUACCGGAUAAGAAAGCAGAUCGCAUGAUCAGCUUUUAACAGGCGGCGUAAGCUGUCGCUAUGGGAUGGCCCCGCGGUGCAUUAGCUAGUUGGUAAGGUAAAGGCUUACCAAGGCGAUGAUGCAUAGCCGAGUCGAGAGACUGAUCGGCCACAUUGGGACUGAGACACGGCCCAAACUCCUACGGGAGGCAGCAGUAGGGAAUCUUCCACAAUGGACGCAAGUCUGAUGGAGCAACGCCGCGUGAGUGAAGAAGGUUUUCGGAUCGUAAAGCUCUGUUGUUGGUGAAGAAGGAUAGAGGUAGUAACUGGCCUUUAUUUGACGGUAAUCAACCAGAAAGUCACGGCUAACUACGUG
rnacentral:rRNA from 1 species